UACGUAGGGGGCAAGCGUUGUCCGGAAUUAUUGGGCGUAAGGGGUGCGUAGGCGGUCUGACAAGUCUGAUGUGAAAUCUAUGGGCUCAACCCAUAGUCUGCAUCGGAAACUGUCGGGCUUGAGUAUGGGAGAGGUGAGUGGAAUUUCCGGUGUAGCGGUGAAAUGCGUAGAUAUCGGAAGGAACACCUGUGGCGAAAGCGGCUCACUGGACCAUUACUGACGCUGAGGCACGAAAGCUAGGGGAGCAAACAGG
rnacentral:rRNA from 1 species